UUCUAUGGACGGAUUCAUAUUCUUUUUGGCCAUGCAUGCGAGUCGUUCGAUGAAAUGCUCAAUAAAGGGGAGUUUUUUAAAGGAAGACAAAGAGGUUUUAGUUAGUUGGUUAGUUGACAUCUCUGUGCUCAUGUCGAAGGAUUAUCUGGAGUUCAGCUCUUUUUUUGUUUUGAGAUGCCUGUUUCAUCGUAUAGUUUUAUAGUUUACAAAUAUGUUCAGGGUGUACUAUCAUUGAAUGCAAAGUAACAAGCUUAUAGUAAUUAGUUUGGGCAUAUCCAUGUGUUUCUUUUGAUUUUCUAACUGUAUUUUGGUAUUGAAAUUUGAGAUAUUCCAUUUUAUUUCCUUUUGCAUUUUUGUGUGCUGGGUUUAUCUUUUUUUCUUGUAUUAAUUCAUCAUCCUAAAGAAAAUUCUCAUGGGAGAGACUCGACAUGGAAUGUCAGAAUUGGAGAGAACAGUGCUCUAUGUUUGGUGGGACAAAAUUUCCCCGCGAGUUAGCAACAACAAAGAAAGAAGAUACAAAGCCAUGCUGGCGGCAAAGAUCAGUAUUUUUCAGGCUUCACGAGAGUAUUCCGUAGCAACACUGCUACGGGUUUUUGACUAGUACUACAUUUUUAUCUCCUUUCGCACACAUUUCUGGAUGAAAUUUAAAUCAUCGAUAUGUCUACCGCGGUUGUUGGUGUGCUUGCAUCCCCUUGG
rnacentral:lncRNA from 1 species